AUGGGAGGCCACGAUGCUGGGAGCCAACACCAGUUUACAGGGAUUGCCAAAUAUUUUAACUCAUACACCAUUACAGGAAGAAGGAAUAAAUGUUGCAAGCAAUGCCAUGUUGUCAGUAGGACAUUGCUAAUUGUUAUAAUGGCCUGA
ensembl:processed_transcript